AAAACCGACACAGGUAGUCAAGUAGAAUAUACUAAGGCGCUCGAGUGAAUCAUGGCUAAGGAACUCGGCAAAUUAACCCUGUAACUUCGGGAAAAAGGGUGCCCAUAGCAAUAUGGGCCGCAGUGAAAUAGCGGUGGCGACUGUUUAUCAAAAACACAUGGUUUUGCAAAGUCGAAAGAUGAAGUAUAAGGCCUGACACCUGCCCAAUGCUGGAAGGUUAAGAGGAGAGGUUAGUAGUAAUACAAAGCUUUGAAUCGAAGCCCCAGUGAAUGGCGGCCGUAACAAUAACGGUCCUAAGGUAGCGAAAUUCCUUGUCGGGUAAGUUCCGACCUGCACGAAUGGUGUAACGAUCUCCGCUCUGUCUCAGCCAUGAGCUCGGUGAAAUUGUAGUAUCGGUGAAGAUGCCGAUUACCCGCAACGGGACGGAAAGACCCCGUGCACCUUUACUAUAGCUUAACAUUGACUUUGGAUAACUAAUGUGUAGGAUAGGUGGGAGACUUUGAAGCAGUGGCGCCAGCCAUUGUGGAGUCGUCCUUGAAAUACCACCCUUUGGUUAUUUGAAUUCUAAUCCCUCAAAAGGGGAGACAUUGUUUGGUGGGUAGUUUGACUGGGGUGGUCGCCUCCAAAAUUGUAUCGGAGGCUUUCAAAGGUACCCUCAGCACGCUUGGUGACCGUGCGUAGAGUGCAAUAGCAUAAGGGUGCUUGACUGUGAGACCUACAAGUCGAGCAGGGUCGAAAGACGGAUAUAGUGAUCCGGUGGUUCCGUGUGGAAGGGCCAUCGCUCAAAGGAUAAAAGGUACGCCGGGAUAACAGGCUGAUCACCCCCAAGAGCUCAUAUCGACGGGGUGGUUUGGCACCUCGAUGUCGGCUCGUCACAUCCUGGGGCUGGAGAAGGUCCCAAGGGUUGAGCUGUUCGCUCAUUAAAGUGGCACGCGAGCUGGGUUCAGAACGUCGUGAGACAGUUCGGUCCCUAUCUGUUGUGGGCGUUAGAAAUUUGAGAGGACCUGACUCUAGUACGAGAGGACCGAGUUGGACAGACCUCUAGUGUACCUGUUGUGGCGCCAGCUGCAUUGCAGGGUAGCUACGUCUGGUCGAGAUAAGCGCUGAAAGCAUCUAAGCGCGAAACUCGCCUCAAGAUAAGAUUUCUUUUAAGGGUCGUAAUAGACUAUUACGUUGAUAGGUUGCAAGUGUAAAGGCAGUAAUGUCAAAGCUGAGCAAUACUAAUUACCCUAAA
rnacentral:rRNA from 1 species